rnacentral:ribozyme from 13 species
AUGAAAGAAAGAAAGAAAGAAAAAACUAUUGCAAGGCGCCCAUGUAGAGCAAUACGAAAACAGCAGUCAAAUUUAUAAGGUGUAGUAUUUUUGGAUUUCCUCUUGAUAUAUUCCAUUGACUGUGUCUUGAAUCGAAUG